rnacentral:pre_miRNA from 1 species
UAAGUACUCCCUCCGUCCCAAAAUAAGUGUCUCAAGCUUAGUACAACUUUGUACUAGAGUUAGUACAAAGUUGAGACACUUAUUUUGGGACGGAGGGAGUAUGAC